UGGGAACCUUCCCUAUGGUUCGGAAUAGCUCAGGGAAACUUGAGGUAAUACCGGAUAAGCCCUUACGGGGAAAGAUUUAUCGCCAUUGGAUGGGCCCGCGUCGGAUUAGCUAGUUGGUGAGGUAACGGCUCACCAAGGCAACGAUCCGUAGCUGGUCUGAGAGGAUGAUCAGCCACACUGGGACUGAGACACGGCCCAGACUCCUACGGGAGGCAG
rnacentral:rRNA from 1 species